rnacentral:rRNA from 1 species
AGGUAAGCUACUAAGAGCGAAUGGUGGAUGCCUUGACUGGUAAAGGCGAUGAAGGACGUACUAGACUGCGAUAAGCUACGGGGAGCUGUCAAGAAGCUUUGAUCCGUAGAUUUCCGAAUGGGGCAACCCAAUGUAUAGAGAUAUACAUUACCUAUAUAGGAGCGAACGAGGGGAAUUGAAACAUCUUAGUACCCUCAGGAAAAGAAAUCAAUAGAGAUUGCGUCAGUAGCGGCGAGCGAAAGCGCAAGAGGGCAAACCCAGUGCUUGCACUGGGGGUUGUAGGACUGCAAUGUGCAAGAGGUAAGUUUAGCAGAACAUUCUGGAAAGUAUAACCAUAGAGGGUGAUAGUCCCGUAUGCGAAAAACAAACCUUAGCUAGCAGUAUCCUGAGUAGGGCGGGACACGAGGAAUCCUGUCUGAAUCCGGGUCGACCACGAUCCAACCCUAAAUACUAAUACCAGAUCGAUAGUGCACAAGUACCGUGAGGGAAAGGUGAAAAGAACUGAGGUGAUCAGAGUGAAAUAGAACCUGAAACCAUUUGCUUACAAUCAUUCAGAGCCCUAUGUAGCAAUACAGGGUGAUGGACUGCCUUUUGCAUAAUGAGCCUGCGAGUUGUGGUGUCUGGCAAGGUUAAGCAAACGCGAAGCCGUAGCGAAAGCGAGUCUGAAUAGGGCGCUUAGUCAGAUGCUGCAGACCCGAAACGAAGUGAUCUAUCCAUGAGCAAGUUGAAGCUAGUGUAAGAACUAGUGGAGGACUGAACCCAUAGGCGUUGAAAAGCCCCGGGAUGACUUGUGGAUAGGGGUGAAAGGCCAAUCAAACUUCGUGAUAGCUGGUUCUCUCCGAAAUAUAUUUAGGUAUAGCGUUGUGUCGUAAUAUAAGGGGGUAGAGCACUGAAUGGGCUAGGGCAUACACCAAUGUACCAAACCCUAUCAAACUCCGAAUACCUUAUAUGUAAUCACAGCAGUCAGGCGGCGAGUGAUAAAAUCCGUCGUCAAGAGGGAAACAACCCAGACUACCAGCUAAGGUCCCUAAAUCUUACUUAAGUGGAAAACGAUGUGAAGUUACUUAAACAACCAGGAGGUUGGCUUAGAAGCAGCCAUCCUUUAAAGAAAGCGUAAUAGCUCACUGGUCUAGUGAUUUUGCGCGGAAAAUAUAACGGGGCUAAAGUAAGUACCGAAGCUGUAGACUUGCACACAACUUAGAUUAUUUAAGUUUAGAAUAUGAGAAACUAAGUUAUAUGUUUAGUUAUAUUUUUACUGAUUUUUAUAGAGUAAAGAUAGAAAUAAAACUUAGUAAAAUCAGUAAAAAUAUUCUUAGACUAAAGUUAAGUAGUUUAAGUUGUGUGCAAGUGGUAGGAGAGCGUUCUAUUUGCGUCGAAGGUAUACCGGUAAGGAGUGCUGGAGCGAAUAGAAGUGAGCAUGCAGGCAUGAGUAGCGAUAAUUAAUGUGAGAAUCAUUAACGCCGUAAACCCAAGGUUUCCUACGCGAUGCUCGUCAUCGUAGGGUUAGUCGGGUCCUAAGUCGAGUCCGAAAGGGGUAGACGAUGGCAAAUUGGUUAAUAUUCCAAUACCAACAUUAGUGUGCGAUGGAAGGACGCUUAGGGCUAAGGGGGCUAGCGGAUGGAAGUGCUAGUCUAAGGUCGUAGGAGGUUAUACAGGCAAAUCCGUAUAACAAUACUCCGAGAACUGAAAGGCUUUUUGAAGUCUUCGGAUGGAUAGAAGAACCCCUGAUGCCGUCGAGCCAAGAAAAGUUUCUAAGUUUAGCUAAUGUUGCCCGUACCGUAAACCGACACAGGUGGGUGGGAUGAGUAUUCUAAGGCGCGUGGAAGAACUCUCUUUAAGGAACUCUGCAAAAUAGCACCGUAUCUUCGGUAUAAGGUGUGGUUAGCUUUGUAUUAGGAUUUACUCCGAAAGCAAGGAAACUUACAACAAAGAGUCCCUCCCGACUGUUUACCAAAAACACAGCACUCUGCUAACUCGUAAGAGGAUGUAUAGGGUGUGACGCCUGCCCGGUGCUCGAAGGUUAAUUGAUGGGGUUAGCAUUAGCGAAGCUCUUGAUCGAAGCCCGAGUAAACGGCGGCCGUAACUAUAACGGUCCUAAGGUAGCGAAAUUCCUUGUCGGUUAAAUACCGACCUGCAUGAAUGGCGUAACGAGAUGGGAGCUGUCUCAAAGAGGGAUCCAGUGAAAUUGUAGUGGAGGUGAAAAUUCCUCCUACCCGCGGCAAGACGGAAAGACCCCGUGGACCUUUACUACAGCUUGACACUGCUACUUGGAUAAGAAUGUGCAGGAUAGGUGGGAGGCUUUGAGUAUAUGACGCCAGUUGUAUAUGAGCCAUUGUUGAGAUACCACUCUUUCUUAUUUGGGUAGCUAACCAGCUUGAGUUAUCCUCAAGUGGGACAAUGUCUGGUGGGUAGUUUGACUGGGGCGGUCGCCUCCCAAAUAAUAACGGAGGCUUACAAAGGUUGGCUCAGAACGGUUGGAAAUCGUUCGUAGAGUAUAAAGGUAUAAGCCAGCUUAACUGCAAGACAUACAAGUCAAGCAGAGACGAAAGUCGGUCUUAGUGAUCCGGUGGUUCUGUGUGGAAGGGCCAUCGCUCAAAGGAUAAAAGGUACCCCGGGGAUAACAGGCUGAUCUCCCCCAAGAGCUCACAUCGACGGGGAGGUUUGGCACCUCGAUGUCGGCUCAUCG